rfam:Zootermopsis nevadensis contig27219, whole genome shotgun sequence.
GCCACGGUGGUCUAGCGGUUAUAACGCUGGCCUUGUAAUCCUGGGGUCUCGGGUUCGAUUCCCGGCGGUGCCC